UGGGGAAUAUUGCACAAUGGGCGCAAGCCUGAUGCAGCCAUGCCGCGUGUAUGAAGAAGGCCUUCGGGUUGUAAAGUACUUUCAGCGGGGAGGAAGGGAGUAAAGUUAAUACCUUUGCUCAUUGACGUUACCCGCAGAAGAAGCACCGGCUAACUCCGUGCCAGCAGCCGCGGUAAUACGGAGGGUGCAAGCGUUAAUCGGAAUUACUGGGCGUAAAGCGCACGCAGGCGGUUUGUUAAGUCAGAUGUGAAAUCCCCGGGCUCAACCUGGAAACUGCAUCUGAUACUGGCAAGCUUGAGUCUCGUAGAGGGGGGUAGAAUUCCAGGUGUAGCGGUGAAAUGCGUAGAGAUCUGGAGGAAUACCGGUGGCGAAGGCGGCCCCCUGGACGAAGACUGACGCUCAGGUGCGAAAGCGUGGGGAGCAAACAGG
rnacentral:rRNA from 1 species